GUGUGUGUGUGUGUGGCCGGCCUAUUUCCCAUCAAAUGUAUGCUUUCAUUAAAAAUUUUCAAGAUAUACCUCCCCACUUCUAUUUAGCUCCAACUUCAAGUGGGCCGGUCAACAUCAAAAGUCCUGGGCCGAAAUUUAAUCCCAGUCCGUCCCUGCUUGUAUUUACAUAUCAUCAACUGGGACUUGUAUUUCUAAAGGAAAAUACGGAAGAGGAAAAACAAUGCACCAAGAUGAAACAAUGUAAACUCGAGUCGGUAGACCUGAUAAAGGAAAGAUUAAGUGAGGUGCCGUUGUAAAGGUAUCGCCUACGGAUGUCAAAUCGAGUGAUUAGAGGAGUGACAGCUUGUUGAAAAGACCCAUGCACCGACGUAUGAAUAACGACAACAAUUCAGUUUUCAUUUUCUUAAGUGAAGCCACAAGGACAGUAGGGAUACAUGCCUUAUCUUUUUUGAGAAACUGUUUGGAGUGUGGUAUCUGAAAGGACUUUUCCCAAAAUUGAGUUUGAGAAAUAUCAGCAGAAAGACUUCAAGAAAUGUUGAGACAAGCCAAGAGCUUUGGUUUUCUGCUUGGAUUCCUUUAUGAAUGCAAAAAUAGUUUGAUUGGGGAGGAGUAUUUGCCAGCAAUGACAUAGCCAGUAAAACAGUAUAAUUCUCUGAUCUGACAAGUUAAAAUGGUCUUUCAAGGGUCAAGGGCACGGAAUCUGACUGUGAAGAACACUUUAUAUUUGUCUCCCAAUCAAGUUGCAAGGAAAGGGAAAGUGUUCUUGUCUUGUGUGUUUCAAGUAUACAAACAUGACGCUUUCAAGCUACAAUUCGUAAUCCACAAGCUGAGGGAGAAGUACAGUUCAUAACAUUCAUCUAGAGGAACAAUGAGCAUUGCAUGAAAAGACUUUUCAUGAAUAGUAUUUAAAAGAGUAAAUACUGCUACUAUGUCAUCAGAAGUAUAUAGUGCUAGCUACAGAACUGAACAGUUAAGUAGAUCAGCUGACUGUCGGAGUGCCAAACUAAAAGUGAGGAAAAGAAAAGUAGAGACAAACCUAUCGUGCUGCAAAGGUCACCGCAAACAAGAAAUGCAAUGAGAUAACUUUUCUUCCAAACACCCACAAUUUUGAGAUUCUUCUCAUUUCUUAGCAGGAAGUUGGUGGAAGCUGUCUAAAACUAGAAAAUUAAGCAAUCCCUGAUAAAAUUGACCCAAGGUGAUUGAUUCCUUUACUGGAAGUUCCUGGGAGUAAGGAUUAGGAUUCCUAAAUUGACUUCGAGGCAGACAACUUAAGUGAUCAAAUGGUUGCUUUAACCCCUCUUUGCCUGAAACAGGCUUUGGUGGUAGAAAAACAGAACGCCACAGUUAUGACCAUGUUCGAAAUUGGUGCCCUAUUAUGUACUUGACACACAUAUUAUUGGUCAAAAAUUUUACCUGGAUGACAGUAAGAAAAACAUAAUUGCUUAAUUUUUAGCAGUGGUAUUUGAAGUCUUGAAAUAAAAAAUAGUGUGUUUCCUGUGAUUCAUUUGAUUCAUGAAAAUUUCUAUAUAAGUAAGUACAUAUGAAAGAAAAUGUCGGUUCUAGCCCACUGCAGGGUACUCGCUUUAGAUUGACAGGUAUGUACAAGUUAAUUCAUUGCUUUUAUUUCAUUUUUAUAUAGCAUUGUUGUAGAAUGUUUUCAGUAAAUGUAAAAUUUACUUUUCUUUCUACUUCACCCACAUUUAUGUACUGCAUACAGUUUAUACUAUUAGUGAAUAUUAGUUAAGAGCUUAAUGUGUAAAGACUAUUAACAUACAGGAAGGUUGUGUCAGACAUAUAUUGUUUGUUUGUAUGGUGUUUUUA